rnacentral:tRNA from 1 species
GCCGAGGUGGCGCAACCGGCAGACGCGGCGGACUUAAAAUCCGCUGAGGGCCAACCUCAUGCGGGUUCGAAUCCCGCCCUCGGCA